UCUGUUCUGAAUCAUACACUCAUUAUCUUCUUUAUCUCUAAAUGUUCUCGUUUUUUAACUGUCUGUCUCGCUCUAGAAUUCAUUUAGUUUCAGAGUUGUGAGCAGGCGAAGGCACUUAUAAGAAGCAAAACAUACAUACAUAUUUUUAAAUUUUACAAAAUGGGGCAGAAUCUAGCUACGCGAUUGGUUAUAUUACGAAAAAUUUGCCGCGAACCGUCGCAGAAGUCCAAUGUGAUGCUUCUGCGUAUCGUUUUAUACGUCACGCCGGCUUCACGCAAGAGCAAUUUCGUAGCAGCUUGAACAGACGGCCAUUCCAGUGCCUGAGUCAGUUAAGGUGAUAAUACAUCCAUUAUGUAUAUGCAAUGUGCUAAGGAGUAUUCGUCAUUCCUGUCGUCCCUUUUUUGCUCCAGGAUGUAAUGGUAAUGGCCUAAGGAAAGCAGGGAAAUUGCGUUCUUUCUACUGGAAAUACAGACAGAUUAUUGUUGUUGCUGAAAGAAGGAUUUAUGACAAUGAACCAGUGAGAGAAAAUGGAAGUCAAUUUUGAAAUUUGGAUGUUUCUUGGACUUGUUGCUUGAUUUGAUGAUGACGUCUUGACUAUGCAACAUUUUACUUCAAUUAAUUUUCCACCGAUGAAUAAGUACAGCUGGGAACUAGGUCCUACUGAAACAACGAUUGCAAUGGUAUCGUUCUUCAAUUUGGUUUGCCAUUUGGAAACUUGGAAGUUACAUUCUGCAGUUAAUUAAGAUCGACGUUGGAGAAGACAAAGAUGACCCCGUAGUUGAAAU